rnacentral:rRNA from 1 species
CGCCCUUAGAGUUUGAUCAUGGCUCAGGAUGAACGCUGGCGGCGUGCUUAACACAUGCAAGUCGAACGAAUCCUUCGGGAUGAGUGGCGGACGGGUGAGUAACGCGUGGGUAACCUGCCUUGUACAGGGGGAUAACAGUUGGAAACGGCUGCUAAUACCGCAUAAGCGCACAAUCGCAUGAUCAGUGUGAAAAACUCCGGUGGUAUAAGAUGGACCCGCGUUGGAUUAGCUAGUUGGUGAGGUAACGGCCCACCAAGGCGACGAUCCAUAGCCGACCUGAGAGGGUGACCGGCCACAUUGGGACUGAGACACGGCCCAAACUCCUACGGGAGGCAGCAGUGGGGAAUAUUGCACAAUGGGCGAAAGCCUGAUGCAGCGACGCCGCGUGAGCGAAGAAGUAUUUCGGUAUGUAAAGCUCUAUCAGCAGGGAAGAUAAUGACGGUACCUGACUAAGAAGCACCGGCUAAAUACGUGCCAGCAGCCGCGGUAAUACGUAUGGUGCAAGCGUUAUCCGGAUUUACUGGGUGUAAAGGGAGCGCAGGCGGUGCGGCAAGUCUGAUGUGAAAGCCCGGGGCUCAACCCCGGUACUGCAUUGGAAACUGUCGUACUAGAG